rnacentral:rRNA from 1 species
UACAGAGGUCUCAAGCGUUGUUCGGAUUCAUUGGGCGUAAAGCGCGCGUAGGCGGCUCGGAAAGUCGGGCGUGAAAUGCCGGGGCUCAACCCCGGGACUGCGUCCGAUACUUCCGAGCUGGAGGUAGGUAGGGGGAGAUCGGAAUUCCUGGUGUAGCGGUGAAAUGCGCAGAUAUCAGGAGGAACACCGGUGGCGAAGGCGGAUCUCUGGGCCUUACCUGACGCUGAGGCGCGAAAGCUAGGGGGAGCGAACAGG